rnacentral:rRNA from 1 species
GAUGAACGCUAGCGGUAGGCCUAAUACAUGCAAGUCGAACGCGAUUGGGGAGCUUGCUCCCCAUGAAAGUGGCGCACGGGUGCGUAACGCGUAUGCAACCUACCUUAAUCAGGGGGAUAGCCUCUCGAAAGAGAGAUUAACACCGCAUAAAAUCACAGAUCGGCAUCGAUUAAUGAUCAAAUAUUAAUGGGAUUAAGAUG